CUUAAGCACACACAAAUAUUGAGCUGAAUAUCCAAUUAUUACACACGAGAAAACAGUCCAAAUAUCCAAAUUAUACAAAAUGAAUCAGUCUAAUAUUAUACUAUAACAUGAUAAUUAUUUUACUAGUAUUCCUAUAUUCAAACUAAGUAGGGAAGAUAGGGGAGAUGAUACUGCAGUACAAAUAGCAAAUGAAGGUCUUCACAGUGAGAAUAUAUUUGCACUUUAAACUUCACAUACAUGAGUGUUGAGUUGGUACCUGCAAUACAGCAGAAAAUCAAGCCUAUGAGUAAUAGAGUAGAUCAGCUAAGCAACCAAUAGCCAAUAGAACAGUAUUUCCAGACUUCAACAGAGUGUUUAGAGAGUUAAAUCUUUAGGGAAUGAUUCAAAAAAAAUUCUAAUGAUAUUUCAGAUAUAAAAUCACUAUUUCAGCUUUAGAAUUGUAGAGAAAAGUUCCAGAUCAAUUUUUCCAGCUCUAAUGUUCAAGAGAAAGGUUUCUGGAUCAGUAUUUCUAGCUUUUUUAGAGAGAAAGAUUUCUGGAUCCCAGCAGAAUGUUUAUAAGACCAAAAUUUUCAGAAAUUCUAGAGAUGGUUUUUCCGGAUCCUUUCUAAUGCCCAAAAUGAUUCAAUUUAUAGCUGAACUCUUAGGGAAACAGAUUUUACCUGUUUUCUUUUUAGUCCUUAAUUCAACUUGUAUUUUUUGCCUAAGUAGUCCUUCAAUUCUUAACUUGUGCCUCAAGUUUGAGGCUGGAAUUAUAUAUUAGUCCCUGCUGGAAGGUUCUACAGGAUUCUCACCAGAUUUUUAUAGUUUCAAAUUCCUUUUAUACCUUUACUAACCUUCCUAAAUUACCAUAUCCCUGAACUUGACCUUGAUUAGUCUUUUUAACCCUAGUUUAUUUACAUUUGACCUUUGCCAGCCAACUUUGGGUCUCAUUUUAUCCUCAAAUUAAUAAACUCGUGAAGGUUUAAUCAGCCAACAUUAGCAAACUCAAUUAGCCAAAGAUUAACCACCUUCUAUGCAGGAUUAAUAUAACAAGAGAUCAAAUAAUCAGAAAGAAUGCACAUAUCUAUCAAAAUGUUUCACACUGUAGUUCAGUUCAGGAAUCAAUUAUGAAGGAAAUAAAAUCUAACAAUGAACAAUUAAAAAUCUCAACCCCCCAAAUCAACUUAAACCAACAUCAGAUCAUAGAGUCAAAGGCUAAAUGUCAAUUAUGCCCUAAAGAUAACAAUACUGCAGAACAUGGACAUUCAAAUUAUUCAACAUGCAAUUGUUGAAGCUAAUCAGUUAUCUCAAACAAUCAAACAUAAACAUUGAGACCUAAUUUCCAGAAGAAAAUUGUGUAUAACUAGAUAAAUAACCAAAAUUAAAUAAACAUUCAAAUUAUUAAACCUAAUCGGUUUAUUCCAGGCUAAAGACAUUCAAACCACGGAAAUGAAUACUGAAUAACUUGUAGAUCACCAGACAAAUAAUUAAAAGAAAAUCUCCUAAAAUAAACUCAAGUUAUCAGACAUGCAAUUACUAAUCAGUUAUUUAACAGAAAACUAGCAUUCAGAGCAAAAGAAAAGUGGAAGAGAAGCAGAAAACUUAGCUUUUCAUUUUUGUUUGCAUUUGAACUGAUUCUGUUGGACCUUUGUCCUUCCACAAGGGUUCUGAAACCUUCUAAGGUAGUGUAGCACCAAUUUAAAUGGCUCAAGGGAGUCCCCAAGAUUCUGAGACCUCAAAUAGGUAUCAGAUUUGAAUUUCCUUAAUGGUUGAAGGUUUUUGGGGGUCAAGGGUGGCCUGGCUAGUGUCACUAGGGUUCAGGGACUGUCCACGAGAGUUUUGAAGCUUUUCCGGCAGGUUUGGGAUUUAGGGUUUAGCUUUGGAUGAAGAUUCUAGAAGUUCCAUGAGGAUUUGAGGGUGGUGAGGUGCAUGGUUGGAAUGGGGAAAUCAAGGUGUCUCAGUGGUGUUUUUUUGGAAGGUUUUGGGCUGGGGGUCGCCGGAGGUAGGAUUUUCGGUGACCUUUGAAUGGAUAUUCGAGGCGGAGGGGUGGUAUUCAAAGGGAGCCAGUCAUGGGACGAGGUAGAGGAGGUUAUGCCGGUUAAGGUAUGUAAUUUUGGGGCCAUUUGGUUGUCCGCCGCCGCCGUGAGGCGAUUUCUGGCAGCGGCAGUGGGGUGGUCAGGUGGUGGUCAAAGGCGGAGAUGAGGUAGUCAAUGGAGCGGCUGAGACCGACAGUGGAUAUAUGAG
rnacentral:lncRNA from 1 species